AGCGAACGCUGGCGGCAGGCCUAACACAUGCAAGUCGAACGAACUCUUCGGAGUUAGUGGCGGACGGGUGAGUAACACGUGGGAACGUGCCUUUAGGUUCGGAAUAACUCAGGGAAACUUGUGCUAAUACCGAAUGUGCCCUUCGGGGGAAAGAUUUAUCGCCUUUAGAGCGGCCCGCGUCUGAUUAGCUAGUUGGUGAGGUAACGGCUCACCAAGGCGACGACCAGUAGCUGGUCUGAGAGGAUGGCCAGCCACACUGGGACUGAGACACGGCCCAGACUCCUACGGGAGGCAGCAGCGGGGAAUCUUGCGCAAUGGGCGAAAGCCUGACGCAGCCAUGCCGCGUGAAUGAUGAAGGUCUUAGGAUUGUAAAAUUCUUUCACCGGGGACGAUAAUGACGGUACCCGGAGAAGAAGCCCCGGCUAACUUCGUGCCAGCCGCCGCGGUAA
rnacentral:rRNA from 1 species